CCUACGGGAUGCACCAGUGGGGAAUCUUAGACAAUGGGCGCAAGCCUGAUCUAGCGAUGCCGCGUGAGUGACGAAGGUCUUAGGAUCGUAAAGCUCUUUCGCCUGUGAUGAUAAUGACAGUAGCAGGUAAAGAAACCCCGGCUAACUCCGUGCCAGCAGCCGCGGUAAUACGGGGGGGGUUAGCGUUGUUCGGAAUUACUGGGCGUAAAGCGCACGUAGGCGGAUUAGUCAGUCAGAGGUGAAAUCCCAGGGCUCAACCCUGGAACUGCCUUUGAUACUGCUAGUCUUGAGUUCGAGAGAGGUAAGUGGAAUUCCGAGUGUAGAGGUGAAAUUCGUAGAUAUUCGGAGGAACACCAGUGGCGAAGGCGACUUACUGGCUCGAUACUGACGCUGAGGUGCGAAAGCGUGGGGAGCAAACAGGAUUAGAUACCCCGGUAGUC
rnacentral:rRNA from 1 species